UUUCCGUAGGUGAACCUGCGGAAGGAUCAUUAAAGAAUUUGCCUCGUCCUCUCGAGGAUGGGUCCUCUUCUAAACCGUGUAUACAUACCUUUGUUGCUUUGGCGGGCCGCCGUCUCGGCGUUGGCUUCGGCUGACUGUGCCCGCCAGAGAACCCCAACUCUUCUGUUUAGUAUUGUCUGAGUACUAUAUAAUAGUUAAAACUUUCAACAACGGAUCUCUUGGUUCUG
rnacentral:misc_RNA from 1 species